UACUGCGACUGGUCUUAAAUGUAUGAGUGCACCCUGCUGUUGCAGCGUCUUCAGUGUGAUAAGCAUCCUCACUGGACAACGUUCCUUCGGGACACGCAAGCAUUGUGGGCUCUGUGCUGCCAACCGUCUUUAGACAAACCUUGACAAUUUGACCUCAAAUCGGGUGGGACUACCCGCUGAACUUAAGCAUAUCAAUAAGCGGAGGAAAAGAAACUAACAAGGAUUCCCCUAGUAACGGCGAGUGAAGAGGGAAAAGCUCAAAUUUUGAAUCUGGUGUCUUUGGCGCCCGAGUUGUAAUCUAGAGAAGUGUUUUCUGCCUUGGACCACACAUAAAUUCCCUGGAAUGGGGUGUCAUAGAGGGUGAGAAUCCCGUUUGUGGUGUGGACUACCUUGGCUCUGUGAUACACUCUCAACGAGUCGAGUUGUUUGGGAAUGCAGCUCAAAAUGGGUGGUAAAUUCCAUCUAAAGCUAAAUAUUGGCGAGAGACCGAUAGCGAACAAGUACCGUGAGGGAAAGAUGAAAAGCACUUUGGAAAGAGAGUGAAACAGUACGUGAAAUUGUUGAAAGGGAAGCGUUUGAAGUCAGUCACAUUGGUCGGAAUUCAGCCUGGCAUUGCCUGGUGUACUUUCUGGCAAAUGGGUCAGUGUCAAUUUUGACUGAGGGAGAAAGACUUGAGGAAUGUGACUGUCUUCGGGCAGUGUUAUAGCCUCUUGUUGUAUGCCUCAGUUGGGAUUGAGGAUUGCAGCACGCCUUAUG
rnacentral:rRNA from 1 species